rnacentral:rRNA from 1 species
UUAAAGGAAUUGACGGGGCCCGCACAAGCGGUGAGCAUGUGGUUUAAUUCGACGCAACGCGAAGAACCUUACCAGGGCUUGACAUCCCCUGACCGCGUAUGAAAGUACGUUUUCACCCUCGGGUGACAGGGAGACAGGUGGUGCAUGGUUGUCGUCAGCUCGUGUCGUGAGAUGUUGGGUUAAGUCCCGCAACGAGCGCAACCCCUACGUUUAGUUGCUAACAGGUGAAGCUGAGCACUCUAGACGAACUGCCGUUGACAAAACGGAGGAAGGUGGGAUGACGUCAAAUCAUCAUGCCCCUUAUGUUCUGGGCUACACACGUGCUACAAUGGCCGGUACAGACGGAGGCGAAGCCGCGAGGCGGAGCAAAUCCGAAAAAGCCGGUCUCAGUUCGGAUUGCAGGCUGCAAUUCGCCUGCAUGAAGUCGGAAUCGCUAGUAAUCGCAGGUCAGCAUACUGCGGUGAAUACGUUCCCGGGCCUU